UUAUUUGCAAAUCCCUGACAUUCUGUUUAAGUGGUUUGGAAGUCGGAGCAAAUGAUAACAAGAGCAGCUGAGAAAUGAGGUUUUGGCCUGGUUAUUGUCUGACCAGGUGUGCUGGGGCCCCUGAACUUUCAGAAGCUUUUGUGUUUCCAUCUGUACCAAGGGGAUUAGUGGCUUAGUCUAAUCUCAAGGGAGCAAGUUUUAGUGUUACUACUUAUAAGCCAGAAACUAUAAUGUUAUGUUUUUUUUACACAGCACCAUCUGCUUUGGGAUCCAGCGUGCUUAGCGUUUCCCCGGGACUCUCUCUCUCCAUACAGAAGAGGAGAGUGAUGUCUCUGGAUUUCUGUUUCUUCCUGUGAACCACAUGGACCGGAUGUGGACGUGAGAGCUUGCUGUCUGUGUGGUCAGUUUGAGUUAUCAGAGACCCUAGGCUGGGUGAUUGCACCAGCAGACUUCCUCACGGAUGCGAGAGCUGGGAGAUCUGAGAAGAAGAUGCCAGCAUGGUGGGUUUCUGGUGAGAGCUCGCUUCCCAGCUGGCAGGAUAGCCACCUGCUCACUGUAUCUUC
rnacentral:lncRNA from 1 species